UGGACUACACUGUGUUACAUUAUCCACCUAUCCAUUUUCUGAAACAUAGGACUGGUUGAUAUUCAUUUACAGGGUACAAAUUGACAAAUAGCAAUUCACACUUUUGCUUAUAGACAAGUUUUCGAGGUACUUCCGCUUUACUUCCGUAUUUCUGCCCACAACUUCCGUUUUCCACAUUCUCUAACUAAAACAACAGUGGAGCUGGAGUGGCAUCACUCAUCAAAAUCCCUCAAAAAAGACAAUUUGGAAAUACCGCUUCCAUCAGCCAUCAUCAUGACAUGGGAGGACAACAGGUUCAUGAAGGCAGAUGUGGAACCAAGCCUGUGAUACCACAAAGACCAGAUGUUUAUGUAGCCAUGCUGCCGCUGUGUUACGGAAGGGUGCAUGAGAGGAAAACCAGCGAAGAGAGCGUCAAGCUGGGGCUUUUCACGAUUUGGAACCUACAGAAGUGAUAUGAAGAAACGCAGAGCACAAAAAGUCCCGCAGCUUCAUUUAUGUCGUGCAGAAUCCAUUUUUGGAGAUUCCGUAGGUUCCUGUGGUUUGAUUUUGCAGUUUUAACUUUGUCUAUACACUGCUUCCACACUUCACAUUGUUCUUUCUAACCUGGAAGUUCGUGGCCCAAAAUGUCAAAGAUGGCGCCGCCCAUGUUUCGCCUAGGAAACUUGUCCGAGGCACUUCCGCAUUUUUGCUCACGACUUCCGUUUUACAUUUUUUCCAUCCAAAAACAGGUGAAGCUGGAAUAAAAUUACUCAUCAAAAUCCCUCAAAAAAGACAAUUUGGAAAUACCGCAUCCAUCUGCCAUCAUUACAACAUGGGAGGACAACAUGUUCAUGAAGGGAGAUGUGGAACCAAGCCCGUGCCACCACAAAGACCGGGUGUUUAUGUAGCCAUGUUGCUGCUGGUCUUAUAGAAGAUGGAAAACGCUGUGAGGGACGUGAAGACAAAUUGAUGUGCCUCACAACAACACUAACUGUACGUUGAUGGACAUAUAUCGAGACUGUGCGUUCUACUUGGAUGAUGAAAGGCUCGA